AACGAACGCUGGCGGCAGGCCUAACACAUGCGAGUCGAGCGAGGACUUCGGUUCUAGCGGCGGACGGGUGAGUAACGCGUGGGAAUGUGCCCUUCUCUACGGAAUAGCCCUGGGAAACUGGGAGUAAUACCGUAUACGCCCUUUUGGGGAAAGAUUUAUCGGAGAAGGAUCAGCCCGCGUUGGAUUAGGUAGUUGGUGGGGUAAUGGCCUACCAAGCCGACGAUCCAUAGCUGGUUUGAGAGGAUGAUCAGCCUCACUGGGACUGAGACACGGCCCAGACUCCUACGGGAGGCAGCAGUGGGGAAUCUUAGACAAUGGGGGCAACCCCGAUCUAGCCAUGCCGCGUGAGUGAUGAAGGCCUUAGGGUUGUAAAGCUCUUUCAGCUGGGAAGAUAAUGACGGUACCAGCAGAAGAAGCCCCGGCUAACUCCGUG
rnacentral:rRNA from 1 species